rnacentral:rRNA from 1 species
GCAUGUGGUUUAAUUCGAUGAUACGCGAGGAACCUUACCUGGGCUCGAACGUAAGAUGACUGUAGGUGAAAGCUUACAUCUCUUCGGAGCAUUUUACGAGGUGCUGCAUGGUUGUCGUCAGCUCGUGCCGUGAGGUGUCGGGUUAAGUCCCAUAACGAGCGCAACCCCUACCUUUAGUUGCCAUCAGGUUAAGCUGGGGACUCUAAAGGAACUGCCUACGCAAGUAGUGAGGAAGCGGGGAUGACGUCAAAUCAGCACGGCCCUUACGUCCAGGGCUACACACGUGCUACAAUGGCCGAUACAGAGGGCAGCUACCUGGUGACAGGAUGCAAAUCUCCAAAGUCGGUCUCAGUUCGGAUCGGAGUCUGCAACCCGACUCCGUGAAGUUGGAUUCGCUAGUAAUCGCGCAUCAGCCAUGGCGCGGUGAAUACGUUCCCGGGCCUU